rnacentral:lncRNA from 1 species
CUGAUAUUUAGUUUUCAUUUCUCUAAAAACUUAUUGUCAAUUACAAAUUCUCAUAUAAAUUAAUCAAAAAUACAAUUUGUCCAUAAAUGGACCUCAAACAACAACAAAAAUUUCGCAAAUUACACAAGCUAAUUUUCUUAAUAUAUCAUUUGAAAUUAAAUUUAAACACACAAAUUAAAGGAUUUUAUGACUCAAAAUUAGGGGUGGGUUGGGAGGCCCGCUCAAGCGAGUUCUGCAAAGUAAGCAGCGUCAACGCUCGGCCAGCCUAUAACCCCUCCAUAAAUUCUUGCACCAUUUCUUUGAGUAAUCGGUGCUGCGGUCAGCUCUCACCGCCCGCUUUGUUUUCCUUACUCAUUAGUUUAAGGCAGUUUUUAAAAGUACACCCCUUCAAUACUUAUGAUCUAUUCUUUCACUAGGAUAUUCACGAUUUUUCGAUGUGGGAUGUUCAUCGCAGAAUUCCCUCGAAAUCCACAUUUGAUUUGAUUCUCUUUCUGUCACUUCUUCGUUUCGUUGCGUUGUUAAUGAUAAUAGAGGGAAGAGUCUAUGCAGAUUUUCCGGUGAAAUUAGCAUCAGCGAUAUUGAUUCUUAUGGUAAACCUCAAUUAGGGUUAAGGAGAAGGGUGUACAAGAUGGCACGCCAAAAGGGUAUAUUUGGGGGGGAAAUGCCCGGCGGGUGAUGAUGCACCUCUCCAUUGCUGCUUAUGAGGAUUUGCGUAUGAACUUUGCUAUUUUUUGAGAAGGUUAGCAGUUAACUUGAAAUAUUUUCACUGAUUGAGCCUCAUCAGUGUCUAAUAUCUGUUUCUUUGGUUUCUUUUUUCACUUAAUGAACAUAUAUUUUGCUGUGUAGAGAUGCAUUAGUAUUACUUCCUCAUUUUCACGGCUUAAAAACUGUUCGUUUUCUUUUCUUUUAAAGAUUCGUGCAAGACAUCCUCUUCAGGGGGCUGCAAUUUACACUCUUUCUACCAUUAGUAAUGGAACAAAAUCGAGCCUAUAUUUCUUACAGAAAACAAGCAAAAGUAUCACAAGCACUAAAUAAUGAGAGUUGGGGCAGGACAUCCGUUAUUUAGCAUAAUUACAGGGAUUCUAAUUUCCUUAUAAACCGUAUUGUCCUAGAUUAAUAUUUUCCAUAUAUAGCAGAUUAUGAAUGCAAUAUAUUCACCAAUGUAACGUUUGCUCUAUAAAUGAAAAUUGCUUCAUUCCAUAUGAAAAUUAACAUGGUAUCAGAGCAAGGUUAGGUUUCAAAUCCAUACCUCUGCAUCUGCCAUGGCCGAAUCAAUUUCUGCCCCUGUCUUCGAUACCAACAAAUCCCUUACAUAUGCUUCUUCUCCAUACUAUCUGCAAGCAUCAGACCAACCAAACCAAAUCCUUGUCGACACACCUCUUAACGGUGACAACUACCUGGCUUGGCGUCGAGCAAUCACUCGUGCCUUGAAUGCCAAGAACAAAUUAGGCUUUGUCCUCGGCACCAUCAAACGUCUUGCCGAUUACACCGCAGCACAACUCUGGGACUGGUGCUGUGACAUGAUAAUGUCAUGGCUUCUACAUUCAAUUGAUCGAUCACUUACAGGCAGCCUUCUUUACUAUGCCACACCAAACGAUUUGUGGGUCGAGUUAGAAACUCGUUUUCAACAAAGCAACGAUACAAAGAUCUUCCAAUUAAAAAGGGAUUUAGUCAAUUUUCACCAAGAACAACGAUCCAUCACAACAUACUAUGGAAAAUUGAAGGAGUUAUGGAAUGAACUAGCCUCCUUACAGCAAAUGAAUCCAUGUACAUGCGGGGCUUCUAAAUCUCUCGCUGAAAUUCACGAGACCGACAAGGUGUAUCAAUUCCUUAUGGGACUCAACGACAGUUUUCAGCAACUUAGAUCACAAAUUUUGGCUACAGAUCCACUCCCUUCUAUUGGUCACUGCUAUGCUAUCCUUCAUCAAGUGGAAACCCAACGAUUGGUUCAAUUACCCUCACCUCGACCAGACGCCUCAGCCCUAGUUGCUUCCGCUCGCUCGACGCUACCAAAAACCAUAGCUCAUUCUCGACGUUCCUGGCUUGCUGGAACAUGAAUUUGUGAAGCAUGUGAGAAGCCGGGUCACCAACGCAACAAAUGUUUUGAGAUUAUUGGCUACCCGGAAUGGUGGCCGUCCAAGACUAAACGGAGCACAACAGCGCCCCCGCCAUCGGGUAUUCAUCAGGUGUCCGCUACCGCCGCUGCUGCCCCAUCAACCAUGAGUGAAAUCCCCGGCCUCUCCACCGAUCAGUACGCCCAAUUGAUGGAACUCCUCAAAAACCCAACCCACUCCUUCGCAAGUUCUGUCUCCUCUUUUGUUCCUCCUUUUGGUCGUGAAUCAUGUAUAGUGGAUAGUAGUGCCACACACCACAUUACUAAUUUGCCCCUUAAUAAUUGUCAUGAUAAUACUAGUCCACUUUAUGUUUCUCUUCCCACAGGGUCGCAUUCUCUCGUCUCUAGCACGGGUGAUAUUACUUUAUCCCCUUGUAUAUCACUUUCCAAUAUUUUAUCGAUUCCUGAAUUUAAGUUUAAUUUGUUAUCAGUUAGCCAAUUAACAAAAUCACUCAAUUGCGUUGUCUCAUGUUUCCCCACUUUUUGCACAUUCUUGACCUAACUACGAAGAUGCUGAUUGGCACGGGUCAUGAGCGCAACGGAUUGUAUUACUUCAAACUGGCUCCAGCAAUUGCUCUACAAUCAUCCAGUCACAUCUCCUUUGAUACAUGGCAUCAACGUCUAGGUCACCCUCCUUAGACAAUAUUCCAAGUUUUAUUUCUCGUCCUAAAAUUAUUGAACAUUGGGAUGCAUGUAAUCGUGGUUAACACACUCGAUUGCCUUUUCAUUUAGUUGCGAAUAAAAGUUUGAUGCCUUUUGGAUGAAUAUUUUGUGAUAUUUGGGGGGGUUAUCAGACUGCCUCUCUCUCAGGUGCACAUUAUUUCUUAACCAUAGUUGACGAAUACACUCGGGUCACAUGGGUGUAUUUAAUGCGCUUUAAAUCUGAAACCUUUUCUUGUUUACAUGCAUUUUUUGUAAUGAUCAACACUCAAUUCAACCUCAAGAUACGUCACAUACGCACUGAUAAUGGUCAAGAGUUCCUUGCUUGCACCACUCAAUAUUUUUUCUCCGAACAAGGCACUCUUCACGAACGCACUUGUGUGGAGACACCUCAACAGAAUGGCCUAGCUGAACGAAAACAUCGCCAUAUUUUAAAUGUGGCACGAUGUCUACUUUUUCAGGCUCACCUUCUUGUUACCUUUUGGGGAGAAUGUGUGCUCAUUGCUACUUACCUUAUUAACCCGCACUCCUUCAUCUUCCCUAUAUAAUAUUUCUCCUUUCAAACGUCUUUACCAAAAAGCACCUCGUUAUGACCAUUUGCGUGUCUUUGGUUGUCUUUGCUAUACUCACACUACUUUCGUUCAUCGUGACAAGUUUCAACCUCGUGCUCGUCCUUGUGUGUUUUUAGGUUACCCAUCCACUCACAGUGCUUAUCGUGUUUACGAUUUAGAACACAAACGAAUUAUCAUAUCCAGGGACGUCACUUUCCUCGAACAUAUUUUCCCUUUUAAACUUUUACCUCCACCUUCGAGCUCGCCCCUUAUCUUACCCCUUCUUGUUCCUGAAACCCCUGAUCAGCCACCUAUGCCUAGCCCUCCUCCAGAACCCCUCCCUGUCCUUCUUCCCACUCGCCCUCGUCGCACUGUACAACAUCCUGCUCACCUUGCUGACUACGUUUGCCCUACCUUGCCCUCAACCUCAUCCGUUACGACUUGCACCGCUCCAGUCGCAUUUUUAGGUACCACUCAUCCCAUUUCCAAUUUUGUUUUGUAUAAUAAAUUUUCUAUAGAUCAUUUUGCUUUCUUAUUUGCUUUAUCACAGUCCUCUGACGCUACUCAAUACUCUCAAGCCGUUAAACAUUCACAUUGGCGUGAUGCCAUGCAAGCUGAGAUUCGAGCACUUGAAUCUAAUAGCACUUGAGUUCUUACAACUCUUCCCCCUGACAAGAAAGCUAUAGGUUGUAAAUGGAUUUUCAAAACUAAACUUCAUGCUGAUGGUUCCAUUGAGAGGUAUAAGGCUCAAUUGGUGGCCAAGGGUUACACUCGGGUUGAGGGGCUUGAUUAUCAUGACCUUUGAUGCUCGGACUCUUCGAUAUGGUUGGAGUACCCGUGUCGGACACGACAUGACAUGGGUAUGGGAUAUGUGUCGGAUCCUCCAAAUUUAAAUCGGACACUUCGCCCUUUUUUACUUCUUCUUUUUUCUUUUCAUUUUCUUUCCCGUUUUCUAUAAUUGACAACUAAAUCCCAAAAUUAUAUUUUAUUAGUCUUAACAUCUUAUUUAAUACUCAUUUCCUUUUUUGUGAACUAUUGAUUUUGGUCUAUUCAAAAUGACAUCUUGGGUUAAUAAAAAAAAUUGAAGCUUGAAAGACGUACCCACAUAUCCAUGUCCGAAAUUGUCAGAUGGUUUUACUCAAUCUACAAGUGAUCAUUCGCUUUUUACUCGGACUAUUGGUUCCUCUUUCACUGUUGUUCUAGUCUAUGUUGAUGACAUAUUGGUUGCAGGAAAUGAUCUUUCUGCUAUCACUACUCUCAAACAAUCGCUUGAUUCAAAAUCAAGGAUUUGGGCACCAUGAAAUACUUUCUUGGCCUUGAAGUUGCCCGUUCACCGCUUGGUAUUUUUCUUAAUCAGCGAAAGUACACCCUCGAUGUACUUGCAGAUUCUGGUAAUUUGGGUUCACGGCCUGCCUCUUUUCCCACGGAUCAGAAUUUGAAGCUAAAUCUUGACGAUGGGACUCUACUUUCUAAUCCCAGUUCUUAUCGACGGUCGGCAGGUCGACUUUUGUAUCUCACUAUUACCCGCCCAGACAUCUCCUUUUCUGUUCAUAUGUUGAGCCAAUUCAUGCAAAGCCCUCGGGAUUCACAUCAUCAAGCUGCACUACAUGUUCUACGUUAUCUAAAAGGCACUCCAGGUCAUGGACUAUUCUAUUCUGCCCAAUGUGAUCUCAAGCUCUCUGCAUACUCCGACUCUAAUUGGGCCAGUUGCCCUACCACUCGUCGUUCCACGAUUGGUUUUUUUUGUCACUCUUGACACUAGUCCCAUUUCUUCGCGUACAAAGAAACAAACUGUUGUUUCACGCUCCUCUGCCGAAGCUGAAUAUCGUGCUAUGGCAAUGGCUACAUGUGAACUUGUUUGGCUCAAAUCUCUCUUGCGCGAUCUUGUUGUUCUUCAUCCGCAUCAUAUAUUGCUCUAUUGUGAUAAUGAAGCUGCUCUACACAUCACCCGCAAUCCUGUUUUUCACGAGCGUACCAAACACGUUGAAAUCGAUUGCCAUUUUAUGCGUGAGAAGUAUCUCUCUGGGCUCAUUCUACCUACACACAUCCCUUACACGCUUCAACUGGCUCAUAUCUUUACUAAGGCUCUUGGAAAGAAUCUUUUUCACCACUUCACUCGCAAAUUGGGCAUUACAGACCUUCAUACUCCAACUUGAGGGGGAGUAUUAAGCAUAAUUAUAGAGAUUCUAAUUUCCUUAUAAACCGUAUUGUCCUAGAUUAAUAUUUUCCAUAUAUAGCAGAUUAUGAAUGUAAUAUAUUCACCAAUGUAACGUUUGCUCUAUAAAUGAAAAUUGCUUCAUUCCAUAUGAAAAUUAACAUCCGUAGACAAUAGACCAAGGAGCGAAAGCCACUCGGUUGCUUGCUAAAUAGAAGAUAGUAGAAGGCACCUCCCUCGGUAUAUGCUUUAGCGACGUAUUACUAGGAGCUAAUAGCUUAAUAGACAACCUUUCAACAAUUUUAAGAGGCACUCAAUAAAUACACUGUCAACAAGUCAUUAUUCAAAUGUGAGUGCAUGAUUAAUUAUAUAAAUUGCUUCCAUUUGGCCCCCAUUAAAUCUCAUCAAAUUAAAUUAAAUUUUUAUCUCUUCUAUUUUCAACCACACAAUCGUCAAUAAAAUAAUAUAUUUUGUAAAUCGAAAACUUUUCAUUCUUUCACACCCAUCUAUUUUUCCAAAAAAAAAAAAAAAAAAAAAAAACACUAUUCCCCCCAUUAUAAUCAAAAUUAAUAGGGGCCAAACGGUCACUCAAAAUCAUUGUCAUUCUUCUUUUGCCGGAAUCUCAAAUGAAUACUGUGAUGAAUUUUCUAGGAGAUAUUGGAGCCCCUAUCGGAUGAUAUUUUAGACUACUAGCUUUUGAGAAGGUAUGAUUUUAACUGAGUAAUUUUUCCUGAUCUGCAAGUACUUGAGAUUUGCAAAUAGAAUGCUUGCCUUGUAUUAUGCAAUUAUGAUUUUGGAGUCAUGACCUCAUCUACGUGUUUAACUUGGGGAAGAGCACACAAACACACUGGAUUUCAAAAUUGUGUGAUUGAGCCCCCCGUUUCUUUCCAAAUUUUAAUGGUUGGAAUAGUGUUUUUUUUUUUAAAUGUGUUGUUGGAAAAGAAUGAAAAGUUUUUUAUUUACGUGUAAUAUUAUUUUAUGGAAGAUUGAGUGGUCAAAAAUAAGAGAGAAAAAAUGAGAAGGAGAAUGGGGCCAAACGGGGGCUGAAUAAUUUAAUAACCUUUUACCUUCAUCUGAACAACACUACGUGCUGAACUUGUCUCUAUAUUUUACAUUUUUAUCUGAUGGUAUCAGAACUUUUGAAAGAGGAUGGUAGAUGACCGAAGUUUAGGACAGUCAUAAUAAAUUGAUUUUAUUCCUUAUUCAAAAGCAUUAUAAGUUCCCUUAUCCACAACCAUUAGCUAGGACCUGCUGGUUUUGAUCCUUACUAACAAAACCACCUGAUUUAAGGCAGCUUUCAUGGUAAAAACCUCACCAUCCCCUAUCCCAGAUGUCUUCUGUUCUUUCCAAUGUGGGAUUCAAAACUUCACCUCAAAGCCCCCAUUCCAUUCCACCCGAACCCACUUUAUAUUUUGUUUUAAUUUGUUGAAUCUUUCUGCUAUUCCCACUCAUCCUUGUUGAGGGAUGUGAAAGAUACACAAUCGACAGGGUUGAAGGGGAUCUGCUGUUAUGUUGACCUUUUUAUUGAAGGUGUCAUUUGUUGAUUUUAUCAUAGUGUCUGUAAACUGAAUCCUUCUCUUCCUUUACAAUUCUAACCUCGGAGAAGUAUUAGUUUAGCACGCUUUUGAUUAAUUUCUUUGUAUAACGACUAACAUUAUUCCAAAUUGAUCUUGGUGUUGGCAGAUAUUUGGUUAUAUACCUAGAUAUAGUUAUGAAUGUGGGCUGAAUGAUGUAUAUAAAGUUCAUAUAUGUGUAAGUUGAUAGAUUUUAUGAGGUGGAUACAUAUUAGUUAGCUUUAAACUUAGUUCAAGUGUGUUCAUAUGCCUGGGAUUGACCAUCCUGAACCAAGACUUAAAAAGGCCCCCGUCGGAUUGGGAAUUUUCAUCCUAUUGCAACUUAGUAACACUGGAAUAUGAAUUUUGUAAAUAAUUUAGAAAUCAACAACAGAAAGUUGAGAAUGUGAAAUAGAACUCCUGAAACCCUCCUUUCUGGAGUCCAAUGAGGCUUUUUGUGCUACACUUUUCAAAUUAUAAUCGUAAUUGUUGAAGUUUACCACUUUGUAAAUUCACUUUUCGUCCUUCUUUACUCUGAAUAUCACACUAUUCCAGAUUAUUUCCUGUCUUAUCUUGAUGCAUCUCCUAAAUUCUACAGGAUGUGUUCAAUCUACUUCCAAAUUUCAAUGUAUGAACAAAUUAAAGCUUUCGCAGGUAAAUUAGCUGGUGGUCAAUUAUUAUUUACUUCUUUUUUUCUUUUUCUUCCCCCUCCUGUUGACAACUGCAUUUUGUAGCAGGAUUCUUGAGGCCCAAGUCUCUAACCAUAUUACUGGUAUUCUGGAAAAGUUUAUAGAUUUCUAUUACUUCUCAUAUUUUUAUGAGCCAAGAGGUCAUUUCAAUGGCAACUAUUAUCACCAGUUAUUUUUCACGUGUUGCUAAGCCCUUGUUUAGAACAGUUCUUUAAAGCUCAUUUCCCCCAAAAAAAAAUUCGAUCAUACUCUUCCAAUAAAAUAAAUUUGGACGUGGGCCCAUAACUUUUCCUAUAUUUUAACCACAAAUUCUUCAAAAAACUCACUUUUUACAUAACUUUUUUCUAAAAAAUUCUACAUUAGGCCCAAAAUAUGCAACUGAUCAUGUGUUUCCAUAAAUUGCAUUAUUUUCCAUAAUCAAAAAAUGACGUUCACUUUGGUCCAUAAAACAAAUGUUUAUUCUAGUCAAUCUAUUCAGGGUCCUUGCGUUAUUGUUGCAGUGCCUAUGGAUUCUGGAAAGAUUACCUUGUCAAGGAUGCUUCUUAGUUGGGCUUCUAAAUAAGGUUGGAAACCUACUUUUUAGAUUUAGACAGAGACAAAGAUCUAUAGCAAUUCCUUGAUCCAUUGCUGCAAAUCUGGUUGAACUGCCCGCUGAUCCAGUGGAAGGAAUAUCUCUUAAUAUCCUCUAGUUUACUUCCAUGGACAUGUAGUUGGGUACAGUAUUUUUGCUAAGGAUUGCAGGGGACUAGGCACUACAAUGAACAAGAUUUUAGCUUCUUUUCUUUUUUAAUAUCAAGUCCUGCCCAAUAUUUGUGCACCAAGCAUACAUUUAUUGGCUAUUGCAAGUGUUCCACAAAUUCAUUUAGUGUCUGUUUGUUUCCAUCAAUAGUUUGUCAUUUUUUUGUUGCCUUUUCCCCCGAUGUGAACUUGGUUUUUUCAGUGUUAAUGUAGUUCUUUUCAAGGUACUCAUGAAGGAAAUUGCCCAACUUUGGAGAGACAGCUUGCCAAAAAUGCUGAGGCAUGGUGAUAAAUACCUUGGGAUGGAUAAAAAUCAUUUUAAUCACUCAAACAUAUCUGAUGAAUUAAAAAUAAGUUCAUAAUAGUGAUUGCACUUAUACCAUGUCAUCUAAUAUUUUAUUUCCAUGGUUGACGGUGCUCCAUGCAAUUAAUAGGUUUUUAAUGCAACCAUUGUUCUGAUUCUGGAUCAGGCAUGGUGUAUUCAUCAAAUAAUGAUGCUACCAAUUCAAUUAGGCAUGCUAUUAUUCAUUUUCUCUCAUUGAAGACGUUG